CCCUUAGAUGUUCUGGGCCGCACGCGCGCUACACUGAUGAAUGCAACGAGCUCUACCCUUGACCGAAAGGCCCGGGUAAACUUGUGAAACUUCAUCGUGAUGGGGAUAGAUUAUUGCAAUUAUUAAUCUUCAACGAGGAAUUCCUAGUAAGCGCGAGUCAUCAGCUCGCGUUGAUUACGUCCCUGCCCUUUGUACACACCGCCCGUCGCUCCUACCGAUUGAAUGGUCCGGUGAAAUCUUCGGAUUGCUGACCAAGAUCCAGCAAUGGAGCUUGGUUGCGAGAAGUUGAUUAAACCUUAUUAUUUAGAGGAAGGAGAAGUCGUAGCA
rnacentral:rRNA from 1 species